rnacentral:rRNA from 1 species
UGCUUACACAUGCAAGUCGAACGAUGAUCUCCAGCUUGCUGGGGGGAUUAGUGGCGAACGGGUGAGUAACACGUGAGUAACCUGCCCUUAACUCUGGGAUAAGCCUGGGAAACUGGGUCUAAUACCGGAUAUGACUCCUCAUCGCAUGGUGGGGGGUGGAAAGCUUUUUGUGGUUUUGGAUGGACUCGCGGCCUAUCAGCUUGUUGGUGAGGUAAUGGCUCACCAAGGCGACGACGGGUAGCCGGCCUGAGAGGGUGACCGGCCACACUGGGACUGAGACACGGCCCAGACUCCUACGGGAGGCAGCAGUGGGGAAUAUUGCACAAUGGGCGCAAGCCUGAUGCAGCGACGCCGCGUGAGGGAUGACGGCCUUCGGGUUGUAAACCUCUUUCAGUAGGGAAGAAGCGAAAGUGACGGUACCUGCAGAAGAAGCGCCGGCUAACUACGUGCCAGCAGCCGCGGUAAU